rnacentral:misc_RNA from 1 species
GGGACGAGAACGAAGCAGGGUCAAUAGCUCAGAAUGACAGCUAUACCAGUUUAACUCCAGACAUCACGCCCGCUACAUCUCACCUCUCCAGUCACCACGCCACUACGCCACCACCGACCCCUCGAGUCUACGCAGCCCGGUGUCCGUCUGUGUCUUGUCGUCGGGCGUGACGUGCAGCAAAGGCGGUAACAGCAACGGGAAGUUUUAUCUACGUGAUGGAGGUUUUUCGUGCGGCGAGGUGACGUGCCGCUGCUGUGAGAUUAGCGGACCACCCCACCCCACUCUACAGCCACAGCACAGCGGAGAGGUUGGGGGAAGGGGGACGAGAACGAAGCAGGGUCAAUAGCUCAGAAUGACAGCUAUACCAGUUUAACUCCAGACAUCACGCCCGCUACAUCUCACCUCUCCAGUCACCACGCCACUACGCCACCACCGACCCCUCGAGUCUACGCAGCCCGGUGUCCGUCUGUGUCUUGUCGUCGGGCGUGACGUGCAGCAAAGGCGGUAACAGCAACGGGAAGUUUUAUCUACGUGAUGGAGGUUUUUCGUGCGGCGAGGUGAUGUGCCGCUGCUGUGAGAUUAGCGGACCACCCCACCCCACUCUACAGCCACAGCACAGCAUAGCCACAGCACAGCGGAGAGGAGUUGGUGAUCCAAAAGCCGCCCCACAGCCGCUACUGCUACUCGGAAGGUUUCUGCCUUGCAUCGGGCCUUCACUGCCGGCCCGCUAACACGUGCCGCCGUCGCCGCUACUGACAGGGAUUUCGCCUCGCUGCGGCCUGGCAAACACCUUCUACGUCGCCGCUAUUGACACUGAGGGACUUCGCCUCGCAGCGGCCUGGCAAACACCUGCUACAUCACCACUACCGCUGCCGCCGCCGUCCAGUGAGAGAUUCAUCUCUGACAUCCUGCCAUUCAACGCCUGCUGCCACCACCACCACCUCCUUAUGGUUCUGUCACUGUACUGAAGCUGUUGUCAUGAUUGAAUAAUAAAUUGUGAAGAAAU